GCCCGAAUGGCGAAAUCGGUAUACGCUGCGCACUUAAAAUGCGCCGACUUUACGGUCAUGCCGGUUCGAUUCCGGCUUCGGGCACCA
rnacentral:tRNA from 1 species